rnacentral:rRNA from 1 species
GAUGACUCUCGGCAACGGAUAUCUUGGUUCUUGCAUCGAUGAAGAACGCAGCGAAAUGCGAUAAGUGGUGUGAAUUGCAAAAUCCCGUGAACCAUCGAGUCUUUGAACGCAAGUUGCGCCCAAGGCCAUCAGGCUAAGGGCACGCCUGCCUGGGCGUCUGGU